GACGAACGCUGGCGGCGUGCCUAAUACAUGCAAGUCGAGCGCAGAAGGAUGGUACUUGUACCAACUGGAUGAGCAGCGGACGGGUGAGUAACGCGUGGGUAAUCUGCCUUUGAGCGGGGGACAACAUUGGGAAACGAGUGCUAAUACCGCAUAAAAACUUUAAACACAAGUUGUAAGUAUGAAAGAUGCAAUUGCAUCACUCAAACAUGAUCCCGCGUUGUAUUAGGUAGUUGGGGAGGUAAAGGCUCACCAAGGCGAGGGUACAUAGCCGACCUGAGAGGGUGAUACGGCCCCUUGGGACUUGGACACGGGCCAAAACCCCUAGGGGAGGCGCCGGAAGGGAUCUUUGGGAAUGGGCGGAAGUCUGACCGGGGCACGCCGGGGGGGGGGAGAAGGGUCUCGGGUCCGAAAACUCCGUUUGUUGAGAAGAACGUUGGUGCGAGUGGAAAGCUCAUCAAGUGACGGUAACUACCCAGAAAGCCACGGCUAACUACGUG
rnacentral:rRNA from 1 species